UACGGAGGGGGCUAGCGUUGUUCGGAAUUACUGGGCGUAAAGCGCACGUAGGCGGCUUUGUAAGUUAGAGGUGAAAGCCCGGGGCUCAACUCCGGAAUUGCCUUUAAGACUGCAUCGCUAGAAUUGUGGAGAGGUAAGUGGAAUUCCGAGUGUAGAGGUGAAAUUCGUAGAUAUUCGCAAGAACACCAGUGGCGAAGGCGGCUCACUGGCCCGAUACUGACGCUGAGGCACGAAAGCGUGGGGGAGCAAACAGG
rnacentral:rRNA from 1 species